rnacentral:misc_RNA from 1 species
GAUGAAGAACGUAGCGAAAUGCGAUAAGUAGUGUGAAUUGCAGAAUUCAGUGAAUCAUCGAAUCUUUGAACGCACAUUGCGCCUCUCGGUAUUCCGGGAGGCACGCCUGUUCGAGCGCCAUUACACACCCCAAGCGCGGCUUGAUGUUGGACGAUGUCUGUGACAGGACACGUCUGGAACGCGUUGGCGCCGCCGACGGACCACGAGCGUAGCAAGACGCAAGUCAUCGCUGUGUUGGACUCCGACGGUUGGCAGUCUGGGAGGGCGCGAAGGGGUUACCCGACGCAGCUCUCGAACCCAUCACGAGUUUGGCCUCGGAUCAGGCGGGGAUACCCGCUGAACUUAAGCAUAUCAAUAAGCGGAGGA